CAAAAUGUAGCUUAUUAUAAAGCCCUCAGCCUACACCUGAACAAUGUUAGCCACCUACCAUUUGACCUUAA
rnacentral:tRNA from 1 species